GUUCGCUGCCUUCUCCGAAGUGCAGGGCAGUAACUCUGCUCCUCCGCUGUAGCCGCCGGCCGCUCUUCUGUGGCGACUCUGGUGACCCAGUGGGAGUGAGGCAGUCCUAAGUUCUGUCCCGUGAAUGGGAGUGGGAACGAGGAGAAGAACCCGGUAUGGAGAAAAUAAGUCCCAAUGAAAGCUUGUGGAAUCGUUCCAGGUUCUAUAACUUCACUGAUACUGCAGAGGACUAGGUUCUGGAUGGCUAGUUGAAAGCAGAGGACAAGCUCACCAAGGAUCCCUUUACAAAAGUAAAACAAAACAUGUUAAGAGGUAAAAUGAAUCUCAGGUGAAUGCAAUCUGCAAAUGCCAGCUCUUCUAGCAUGUUGCUCCUAGAGCUAGAGCUUCAUUCCUGGGAGUGCUCAUAAUGUAAAUGUUACUGUGCUUUCUAAUUUCCUGUGAAGAAUGCUUUCUUAGRUCUUGAUUAUCUUUGGCUCUUGCAUUCUCUGACAAUUUGCAGUGUACGUAGUUACUACUUUAAUCUGGGAAGCUGACAGAUAACAUAUGUUGAGAGUAUUCAUGAACUUAGGAAUGCAGAAUAGCCUACUUGUUGUCUUGAGUAGUGGUCAAUUUUGACAUAUUACAAAUAACUAGCAAUUAUAUCAAUAAUUAUAACUUGCCUUAAUAUCAUGUUUUCACUUAAUAUUCAUCAGAUUUUGACUGAUCUGUUAAUCUUUUUGUCUGCAGUAUCUUUCAGUACCUUCCUGACAGAAUACUGCAAGCAAAAUGGUCAAGGUAGUUUUAGAAUAAUUUAUAUAAAAAAAAGGUAGUUGAAAUAAUAUCAACAGAUGAGUCUGAUAAUGACAACAUCCAGRUUUAUCCACUGUAUAACCUUAAAGCUAAUUUCACAUUGAGGAAAAAWGUCGGGAAAUGAAAAUGUAGAAAUUAUAAUCAAGUGCUGGGAAAUAUCUAACAAAACAGUGCCACUGAAAGCUGUCGCUGAAAAAUGUCCAGUGAUGACCUGCUGUGCUGUUUGGUUUUAGUGUUUUGUAUGUGCACACGUYUGAGAACGGAAGA